rfam:Lautropia sp. SCN 69-89 ABS56_C0018, whole genome shotgun sequence.
GGCGUAUUUUGCCCAGGCGGAGCUCGACCGCCGCUCGAAACGAUGAAGGCCUUCAUCGAUGACCACCGCGCCGACUACGGGGUCGAGCCGAUCUGCAAGGUACUGCCGAUCGCCCCG